CCGGAACUCCACAAAAUGUCUUUGCCCUGCGCGAUUUAGCGCAGGGCAAAGGAGAGCAUCGGAGCAUAAAAUGCUUCAAUGCUCUUGUCAGGACAGCUGCCUGGGUGAAAUUCUGGAGGCAUGACCUGGGCAACCCCUUUAAUUGUGCA